UGCCCGACCGCACUGAGUAAGAUUUCCCUCGGUUUUUCUAAGCCUUGCUGGCUGAUUUACAGGCCCAUCCUUGUCCAACCCGAGCUUGUGCUAAGUCUCCACUAAUCUCAUCGUCGACGAAAUGUUAAACGCUAAAUUUUAAUUUGAAACGACGGGUAUCUGCUCGUUGCCGAGUGCAGCGCCACAGCGAGGCGAGUAGUAGCGCGCUUUCACAAAGCGAACUGGAGUCUGACGAACGGAACUGAAGUGGCAACUUCAACUUGGUGCCAGUGUCGGACCACAGUGGGUGAAGGCCGGCCGACAAGUCUUCAGGACAUCGCCGGGCCGGGCCGAUGCAUGGCGCGACGGCCGAGCUGGUUUGGAUAUUGGCAUAGCUGGCCCAGGAUUUGCCAGUUUCAGCGCAGUUCCGUAUAGACAGAAGAUGGGCAGUCACUGUCACUGUUGUCGUGAGGAGGCUGAGGUGGAGAAGAGUAUAAGUUCGUACUAGCCAGAGAAAGCGGGAACAGCAAGCUGGAGAUCGAGGGCGGACACUUGAAUGUCGAGUUGGAAGCAGGGUACAGCAGCAAGGCAGUUGGACUGACGGACUGCCAAGGCUUGGUCCAACUUGCUGCCAACACGAGGCAUGGUUCUUGCUGGAGCAGUGGGCGGUAUUUGCCUACCUAUGUCCAGCAGACACGGAGCAACUGAGAGCAGGUUUCGCACUUCAAAUGAACAAGAGCAUCACCAGAAUUUAUAGUUUGAAGUUGGCUGACAGCAUUAACGACUGCGUUUAAAGUUGACUGGCAGCUCUAAAGAUUAACCUGGGCAUACUAUAUUACUUAAAUUUACGUUUAAAGUACAGUAGCAUACGAUGACAUUG